AUUGAACGCUGGCGGCAGGCCUAACACAUGCAAGUCGAGCGGAUGAAGGGAGCUUGCUCCUGGAUUCAGCGGCGGACGGGUGAGUAAUGCCUAGGAAUCUGCCUGGUAGUGGGGGAUAACGUCCGGAAACGGGCGCUAAUACCGCAUACGUCCUGAGGGAGAAAGUGGGGGAUCUUCGGACCUCACGCUAUCAGAUGAGCCUAGGUCGGAUUAGCUAGUUGGUGGGGUAAAGGCCUACCAAGGCGACGAUCCGUAACUGGUCUGAGAGGAUGAUCAGUCACACUGGAACUGAGAAACGGGCCAGACUCCUACGGGAGGCAGGAGUGGGGAAUAUUGGACCAUGGGCGAAAGCCUGAUCCAGCCAUGCCGCGUGUGUGAAGAAGGUCUUCGGAUUGUAAAGCACUUUAAGUUGGGAGGAAGGGCAGUAAGUUAAUACCUUGCUGUUUUGACGUUACCAACAGAAUAAGCACCGGCUAACUUCGUG
rnacentral:rRNA from 1 species